AUUGAACGCUGGCGGCAGGCCUAACACAUGCAAGUCGAACGGUAACAGGAAGAAGCUUGCUUCUUUGCUGACGAGUGGCGGACGGGUGAGUAAUGUCUGGGAAACUGCCUGAUGGAGGGGGAUAACUACUGGAAACGGUAGCUAAUACCGCAUAACGUCGCAAGACCAAAGAGGGGGACCUUCGGGCCUCUUGCCAUCGGAUGUGCCCAGAUGGGAUUAGCUAGUAGGUGGGGUAACGGCUCACCUAGGCGACGAUCCCUAGCUGGUCUGAGAGGAUGACCAGCCACACUGGAACUGAGACACGGUCCCGACUCCUACGGGAGGCAGCAGUGGGGAAUAUUGCACAAUGGGCGCAAGCCUGAUGCAGCCCUGCCGCGUGGAUGAAGAAGGCCUUCGGGUUGUAAAGUACUUUCAGCGGGGAGGAAGGGAGUAAAGUUAAUACCUUUGCUCAUUGACGUUACCCGCAGAAGAAGCACCGGCUAACUCCGUG
rnacentral:rRNA from 1 species